UAGGAGCUCGGAUGGAAUUUAGAAGGUGGUCAACCAUCGUAGAAAUUUGGAUGGAGUCUGAUUACUGUAAAAAUCCCAUUGUCAGAGAAGCUUGGAUGCUGAUGAAGUCCGGAUGAAGUUCAGAGUAGAGUCAUCCGUGGUCGGAAGAAGUUUGGAAGAGAUUCGGAGGAUAAUCGAUCAUCAUGGAAAAUUGGCUGCUAGUGGAGUUCGGAGGGUAUUUGGAGCAGUCCAGUAGAUGGAUGAGGAAGCUCGUUGUCGGAGAAGUCCAAAUGAUAUUAUGGAAGCUCGAACGGUCGAGGG
rnacentral:lncRNA from 1 species